CAUUUUACCAAGUUCAAUGUUAGCCAGAUUAGUCAACAUUUAUAUGUGGAGACCCAGUCGGGAGAUGUUUCGGCUUAUAUUCCUACUAAUGUAAUUUCCAUUACUAUAGGAUCCUAUCCCAAUUUUUCUUUUGCUAGGCCCAUAGCUAAAAAACCUGGGGUUGCUUUUUCCAAUAAACGUUGGUUACAUUUCUUUAUGUUAUUUGUACCAGUAACUGGUUUAUGGAUGAGUGCUCUUGGAGUAGUCGGUCUGGCUAUCCACAUCACUUCUGCUUCUAUUGUAACAAAAGAUUCCCCUUUUUGAUACAUUUAUACAAAACUUCUACCCCGAGCACACGCAAUGGAGCCGUAGACAGUCAAGUGAAAUCCAAUACACGAAAUAAUUUGAUCUAUGGCAGUCGCCAAUCCCUAAAACGGACUAUGGAAUGUACUUUAUCCGACAUUUUUUUCUUUUUUUUACUAAUUCAAUUCUAUUACUUUUUAUAUUAUCACUAAUAUUUUAUUAACUAAUUUAAUUUACUGUUAUAUCAUCUAUAUAAAAAUUCGAAAUAGAUCAACCUCUGAUCAAAAAGAUAUACCUUGGUUCUAUUUCAUCUCUUCAACAAGUUUAGUAACUACAAUCAUUGGGGGAACAAUACCUAAACCUAAAGAUGCUCCAGAAUCUUUUCGAUUGCUCGUUCGAGAACUACGAUCUUUGUCUCUGGAACUGAAUCAUUUCCUUGUAUCUGAGAAGAACUUCCAGAUUAAUAGGAAGGAAGCGCUAUUGUAGGGGAUUUAUUGAAACCAUUGAAUUCAGAAUAUGGUAAAGUAGCUCCUGGAUGGGGAACUACUCCUUUGAUGGGUGUCGCAAUGGCUCUAUUUGCAGUAUUCCUAUCUAUUAUUUUGGAAAUGAUAUAGGUAUUUUGAGAAUACGCCUUAACGACCAAUGGUUAACAAUGGCUCUGAUGGGUGGUUUUGCUAGAAUAGGCAAUAAUGAGAUCACUAUUUUAGUAAAUGACGCGGAAACGUUUGUAAUUUUCUAAUUGUUCCAAGGUCUUAUAAGUUGACAAAAUGGAACUAAAGAAAACAAAAAAAUUAUUGGGGGGGGGGGGGUUGAAAUGGGGCGUGGCCAAGUGGUAAGGCAACGGGGAGUUCCUCUAUUCAAUCCUUUUCCUUCUUCUUGUUGCUACAUAUAUCGUUCGUACACAUCUUCUCUUUGUUUCCCGAGCCUAUAGUGAGUUACUUAAGCGGCAUCUGUUGAUGAAUGGUUAUACAACGGCGGUCCUUAUGAGCUAAUUUGCUCGAAUUGGAUCCUUUCGAUUUAGAAAUCGAAAAUAGACUACACUUACGAAGUUGUUCGAACUUAUUAAUUGGCACCUAAUCAAUCUAAUUCCGGAUCGAGUCAUGAGAUCCAAGUUGAGAGAGAUAAAUUGAACAAAUAUGGGCGUCCCCUAUUGGGAUGUACUAUUAAACCGAGCGCCUAUUGCCACAGCUGUAGAUAUAGGUAUUUUGAGAAUACGCCUUAACGACCAAUGGUUAACAAUGGCUCUGAUGGGUGGUUUUGUCACCUGUUUCAGCCUGUGAUUUAAAAAUGGCUUCGGCACAAAAUAUGAAACGGUCUCUCCAACGCAUAAAUGGUUGUGAGUUCACGUUCUCAUCAUCUUUCCGUGCUUUUAACCCAACUCAAGCUGAAGAAACUUAUUCAAUGGUCACCGCUAAUCGCUUUUGGUCCCAAAUCUUUGGGGUUGCACUGAUGAUAGAACUAGAAUAGAUAUUUUCUGUUUCCUACUCACACGAGCCCAUAUCCUUGCUUUUCGAUCAAUCUCUAAUUCUAAUCUUCCUCCCGAAGAAAUAGAUAUGCCUAGAUACUUUAUUCUAUGGAUAAAGGAUCUAAUUGAUAGAGAAAGCACCGUAAAGAUCAAUUAGUGAGGUUUUGGGCCGAUACAAUAAGAGCUAAUUUUUCAGGAAUUUUAGACCAAGCUUCUGAUAAACUUUGAUUUUUGGCUAGCCCAGCACCAACUCUUCGAUAUAUUUCUUGUUGGAAGUAUCCCAUCCAGGGGUCGCGGACCGACCAUAGAAUCCUGUGAGCAGUAAGGGUCGGAGAAGGGCAAUCACUCAUUCGGAAGCUAUUCCUGUAAUAGGAUCCCCUUUAGUAGAGUUAUUAAGCGUGAUUGGAUUUGAAGAGAGGAAUUGGCUUUAGUCACCAAUUCCAUUCCUGGCUUCACUCUCUCUAUGACUAGGUCAUAUCUAGUAUUCAGAGUUUGCCUCGAUUUGGUCUAUAUAAUAAAAAGGGUGGGUGUAAGAAUCCACAACUGAUCAUGUCCUUCAAGUCGCAAUGCCUAUUGUAUCGGCUUGCCCUUUCAUAAGGGGAGAUAGAAUAAAGCGUCCAUAAUAAAGACGCUUACUGUCUGCUCUUGAUUCAACUUUCGAGUACGCCGCUAUGGUGAAAUCGGUAGACACGCUGCUCUUAGGAAGCAAUGCUAGAGCAUCUCGGUUCAAGUCCGAGUGGCGGCAUGGCAUCUUCUAAAACAAAUGGAAUAUUCGCAUAUAUAAUUGUAAAUAUAUGUAAUAAUAUAUACAGGGGGGUAAUUCAUACAUCCUAUAUUCUAUCCCCUUGCUUUAAAUAAAAAUUAUUGAACGACCCACCAGUGAGAUACACACGAAAUACGUGCAGGAUCAUCAUUAGGACCAUCAUACUUGCCGACCAUCGAUGAACUGAUCGAAUUAACCAACCAAGCAUUUCCUGCUGCGAUUUGAGCAGCAAAUGGUGUCCCCCUUCUUGUACCAUUGAAUCCACAAGUACCGGCGGAGGACCAAGAAAUUACCCGACCCCGUACACCACCUGGUUUUAUCAAUUUGCAAAUUCUUCCUCAGUUAGUUAAAAGAAUGAAAUUGGCCGAUAUUAUGACAAUACUAGGUAGCAUAGAUAUCAUUAUGGAUUGAUUCAAUAUCGAUGAACCUAGAAAAAAGAAUUGAGGGUUGGAACGAGCAUAUAAAAAAAAUUCUUGGAAUUCCUUGGGGAUUCUUGAUUGGGGCUGAACUAACUAUAGUGCAAGUUCAACCAACCUAUUUUCAAAAUAUCAAGAUCAAGUGGAUGAAUAAAAAUCUUGAGCUUGAGAAAGUCCUUAAUUUGAUUUGCGUCGGGAUAUCUUAUUUGUCUCUCCAGGAAAAUGGAUAUCUCCAGAAAAGAUUUUCAGUUAGAACAUGGAGUGUGAAUCAAACCCAUGUUUGAAUUGAAAUUGAGAUACUGAUACAAGUUCUUCCCUUCUGAAUCAGAUAGAUUCAUAUCUGAAAGAGGUGAUUUCUACACACGUCUUUUUUUAGGAGGUCUACAGCCAUUAUGUGGCAUAAGGGUUACAUCAACCUUCUUUGGAUUUGCCAAAAUUUUUUGGAAUUCAUUUAUUUCUUUCAGGAGUGGCUUGCUCAAUGGAAACGUAAGAGAGGUCAAAUGAUACGUCAUCAGAUGAUUGUAGAAGGAAGGUGGUAGUUUAUAGAAAAAAAAGAAUGAAGAAUGAAAAAGAAGGAUAAAUUCAAAUAAAAAAGAAAAGUAAAGGGGUUGUAUCAGGAAUCCAAUUUUGGAUUCUGUAUGGAUAAAAGAUCUUCCUAAUGUUAUACUAUUCAAUUCUCGACGAUGAGGGUAUUCACUUAAUCUUGUUAGGUAUAGGUGCUUUUCUUCUAGCAGCAGUUGACUGGACAUCUAGGGGUAAAGCACUGUUUCGGUGCGGCUCUUAUACAUGCCGCUACUAUGGUAGCAGCGGACAUUUUUCUUGUAGCUCGACUUCUUCCUCUUUUUAUAAUCAUACCCAGUUCGCCAGGUUGUCUCUUGCCUGCCCAUGGAUUCAGCAGCAAUUCGAAAGGUUGACCUAUUCGGGAAUCUCCGGAUUUUUUUUUCGAAAGAUUUUCUUUUUUGAUAGAAAAGACAAAGGGAGUUCUUUUGGCUUAAAAUCCGAAUAAUAUUCAUUCAAAUAUAGAAAAGAUAGAUAUAGAGUAUCUUUUCUUUCUACUAUAUCUUCCGAGAAUCUCUAUAAUUCCCGAACUCUUUCUUCUGUAUCGAGGAUCGUCGAAAUAAGCAAGAAUACUAUUUCUACGUAAAAUUCCAUUUAUCGGUAGUUCAAUCGAGAUACCUGAAUGGGGCAUUAGUUCUUUCUUUCGUUCUUGAAUCGAUUGUAGUAUUGCCGAUACUAAGUAGCAGUCAAAAAUUUGUAUCCAUUUUUCAUGAUAUUAUGCAUGGAUCAUACGAUAUUUUCUGGGCAUUUCUAAUAAUAUCAAGUGUUAUUCCUAUUUUGGCAUUUUACCAGAUAAAUGAUCCUUUUUAUUUGACUGAUGAAGCUAACAAACAAUUCAAUAUAAAAAAAAUAGAAUUCUCUUUCCAUGAAUUUUCCAUUUCUCACUCAACGACAGAACUUUGCUUAACCAUUCUAUUUUAAAAAGGAAUAAUAAAAGAACUUUCCAAAAGAAACCCAAUUCAAUUAUUUGGAUUAAGAAAAAUAGAUGAAUUGAGUGAAACUAAAAAAGAAAAAAAUGGGGUAAUCAGCAACUUUUCCACUAUCACCCCCAAAAAACCAAACUCUGCCUUACGUAAAGUUGCCAGAGUACGAUUAACCUCUGGAUUUGAAAUCAGCUAUCCUCUUGCCUAGCAGGCAAAGAUUUACCUCCGCGGAAAGGAUGAUUCAUUCGUAUCAACUGUUUUAUUUUAGGUUUAUGAAAUUUCAAAAAUAAAGGAGUCUUUAUGUCGCGUUACCGAGGGCCUUGAAUAUUGUAUGUGUUCCUAAGAAAAGAAAAGGAAUUUGUCCAUUUUUCGGCGUUGCCAGCCGGUAAUAGCCGAAGGCAAAAAAAAAGUUUUGGAAUAAGGGCGAGAAUUGCUAUAUCCUCUAUUCAAAGGGGAGAAAUGAGUUUAGAUAUUUUGAUUACUCAAAAGGAUUUAACUCUUACAGAAUUAAUGAAAAAAGGUACACUUAAAGACUUUUAUUUCCUUAUCCAAGACUUAAUUUCGAAAAACAAUCCGUCGAAUACGCACUGAUAAUGGGAGAGAAUUUUUCAAUGCUGAGUGUGCAUCCUUAUUUUCUCUGCAUGGAAUCUUACAUGAGAGUUCCUGCACAUAUACACCACAGCAAAAUGGAGUUGUUGAAAGAAAGCAUCGUCAUCUCUUAGAAGUAGCACGAGCACUUAAAUUCCAAGCUUCCAUUCCUGAAAAUUUUUGGGGAGAUUGUGUGGUCACAACAGCAUAUCUAAUCAAUCGCAUGCCAUCACACAUUCUAAAGGGGAAGGCACCUUUCGAGUUAUUAUAUGGGAGGAAACCGGUUCUGAGUCAUCUCCGAGUUUUUGGGUGUCUAUGUUAUGUGACUACAAUGGGACAUAGAGAUAAGAUGGCACCUCGUGCUAGACAAUGCAUAUUCAUGGGUUAUCCAACCUUGCAAAAGGGAUAUCGGCUUUAUGAACCAUCUACAGGAGAUUUCUUUAUAAGCAGGGAUGUUGUCUUUUCAUGAAGAUGUUUUUCCUUUUUCGAAAUUCACUUCCUUAUCUGAAGAUGAGAAGACAAUGAAUAGGCAGUUUUUAUUGGAGGAGGACUUAUCUUCCGGAGGAAUGUUGGUUAUUACCUCUCCUCCAAAACCAACUGACAUCUUGUCUCCAAGGCCUCCUGAAAAUGAUGAUGAGGAUUUCAUUGAGCAGCCUCCUGCCAGCAUAGUUGGGGGAUAUUUCAGAAGCAAGAAUCACUGAUGAAUCAUCUUCAACAACACCACAUGAGCCACAACGACACUCCAGUCGAGCUACUCGUCCACCUACUUGGACGAAAGAUUAUGUAUGUGGCUCUUCACGAUCAUUAGGUACUCGUUACCCUAUCUCAUCUUAUAUUUCCUUUGAUCGGUUAUCAUCAGAACAUCUAUGUUGCAUAAGUCGCAUUUCUGAAGAUCGAGAACCUUCUGGUUAUGAUGAGGCCAAAAGUGAUCCUCGUUGGCAAAAGGCCAUGGAAUUUGAAUUACAUGCCUUGAUGGAGAAUCAUACUUGGGAUGUUGUGUCAUUACCUGCUACUCACAAAUCAAUUGGUUGCAAGUGGGUAUAUAAGAUUAAAUACAGAGCAGAUGGAUCUGUAGAAAGAUACAAAGCCUGGUUGGUAGCCAAAGGCUUCACACAACGAGAAGGUUUCGACUACCAUGAAACCUUCUCACCCGUAGCAAAGGAUGUCAUAGUUCGUGCUUUUCUAUCUAUUGCUGCUUUUCGUGACUGGGCACUACAUCAAAUGGACGUCCAUAAUGCCUUCUUGCAUGGUGACCUCGAUGAAGAAAUCUAUAUGGAGCUUCCACAAGGAUUACAGAGACGGGGGGAGUCGAAGGUAUGUCGUCUUCGCAAAUCUCUUUAUGGAUUAAAGCAAGCUUCUCGACAAUGGUACGCCAAGUUCACCAAUGCACUCAUGGCUGCUGGGUUCAAGCAGUCCAAGUACGACUAUGCCUUAUUCACAUGGACAAAAGGUAUGUCAUCUAUUUAUUUGAUGAUCUAUGUUGAUGACAUACUUAUCAUGGGAAAUGAUGAUUCCGUUAUAAAGAAACUCAAAGAGUAUUUGCAUUCCACUUUUCAUAUCAAAGACUUAGGACCACCUAAGUAUUUUCUUGGAAUUGAGAUAGCUCGUUCAGAUCAAGGGAUCUCAUUAAGCCGGCGGAAAUUUGUAAUGGAGAUCAUAUUAGAGGCAGGACUGUCAAGCUGUAAACCAUUAGCUAUCCCCAUCGAGCAAAAUGCCAAACUGAAAUCUAUCGAUUAUGAUAAUGGCAUAUCUUCUCCUUUUGAUGAUCCAUUAUUAAAAGAUCCCUCAGGAUAUCAGAGGCUCGUAGGGAAACAGAUAUACCUCACCAUGACUAGGCCAGACAUCUGUUAUGCAGUGCAAACUCUCAAUCAAUUUAUGCACAGUCCGAAGCAAUCUCACAUGAAUACAACAUUGAAGAUUGUGAGAUACUUGAAGACAUGUCCAGGCUUAGGAAUACUUCUUUCUUGAAAGUGCGACAUGGAAAUGACGGCCUAUUGCGAUGCAGAUUAUGCCAUAUGUCCUAUGAGCAGGAGGUCUAUCACAGGUUUCUGCAUCAAAUUUGGGGAAUCAUUACUUUCCUGGAAGACAAAGAAGCCAUCUACUGUGUCCUUGUCUUAAGCUAAAGCUGAAUACCGAUCUAUGGCCAAGACUGUUUGUGAAGUAGUCUGGUUAAGGGGUCUUCUACUAGAUCUCGGAGCACAGGUUAAAGGACCAACUUUACUCUUCUGUGACAACGAUUCAGCACUCAAACUUCCAGCAAAUCCUAUACUGCAUGAGAGGACAAAGCAUAUAGAAGUCGAUUGUCAUUUUACUCGAGAAAAGAUUCAGGAAGGAGUUGUUGAGACAAGGGGGAUCAGAACCUCAUAGCAGCUCGCGGAUAUAUUUACUAGGCCUCUUUGUCAAAGACAACAUGCAUAUCUUCUAAACAAGCUAGGCAUCUUAGAUAUAUACAAGCUACCAGCUUGAGGGGGAGUGUUGGAAGAUAUGAUUCUGUAAUUUUGUAUGAUAAGCAAUUAAGUUUAUUUUAGGAUUAGAAAGAGAGGAAAAGAUAAGAGAAUAUUGCUUUUCCUUUAUUAAUUCUUUCUUUGUAAUUAAAUACAUGAUACUAUACAGAAAUUACAAUUCAAUUGAAUGAAGAAACAACUUCUUCUUCUUCAUCAUCGGUUCCUCACGAAUCCAGUAGAUACACUACUUUGCUGCAUCUCCUUUUGUGACAAAUUAACCAAGAACUCAAUGAAAUCCUCAAUGUGGGUGGGGUCAAACUUCAAGUACCUCAUGUAAACCCUGAGCGGAGUCUCGAUGGGCAUGCCGCUCUGGCUGACGAACACGAGGUAGGGCUCCCAGAUACGGUCGUGCUGUGUGACGGGGAGCGCGCAUAGCGCCCGAUCGAAGGUAUGCCGGGUGCAAGUGACCAGCUUUGGCAUCGUGAGGGUCUGGAGGUACAUGAUCCAAAUCCGGGGCAUCUUGUGUAUCGUCACUAGGGCACGCUCGAACGUGUUGUCCAGGGUCUUGUACUGGGAGUGGAUGAUGGUGAGGCUUCGGACGAUCUCGAGGUGCUCGCGGAGGUAGGCGUGCCAGAGCUUGUAGCUGCUGGGGAGGGCCUUGAGGGCGCGCUCGUAGAUGACAAAGCGCUUCUUGAAAGGGGAAUCGGCCCGGAUGAUGAGGUAGUGCCACCACAGCUUGAGGCUGAAGGGGUUGCGUAGGAGUUCCUCCUCAUAGAGCAAGUCGUCCUGCGACAGGUACAGCUCCUUGGGUAUUGACAUCGCUGGAACCCGGAAAAACCCAGAAAACCCUCGAGCGCCCAGAGAGGGAGGAGGCGGAAAGCAACAAUCUUGCGCGCAGCGACGGUGCUUGGAGAGAGAAUUCAAUCGGAACUUCCGGAGUCCGGCGAGAGGGGUAGCGAGGGAGGUCGGUCGUCGCUCUUUCUCUCGUCGGGAAAUCAACGGCGGCGGUGCGCCAUGAGCGGGAGGAGGCCCUGGUGGGGGAAAAGCCCUAGUCUUUCUGGCAAGGAGGAUGGUGAAUUUGGGGAUCUUCGCAGCAAUGGCGUCUAUCUCUCUGUGAUCUCGCAGAGGUCGAAUUGCGGGAGGAAGAAGAGGGAUUUGGUGUUUUGCUCUCAGUAUUCUUCAGCGCAAUUACUCCUAAGUUCAUUAUCUUUUUAUAAAUCCGUGAACAUGUGACGAAUUAUGGGUGAACAUGGCCCUAAUGGGCGAGAAUUACCCAUUAAAAGACUGAUUGCAAAAAAUUGAAACUAACACCUUCCUAUUGGUUGGACUGCCGGUUUAGCCCCGUUUUCGAGUAAGUCCAUAAACCAGUCCUAUUCCCUACAAAGCUUAUUUGGCCUUAUAUUCGGGUUAAAUUGCAAGCCAUUAAAUUUGAUUCAUAAUUAAAAACUAUAAGGCAAAAUGAACAAAUACUACUUGCUAACUAAAAACUUAAUCUCUUCGAAAGUCGUGGUAUGUUCCUCUUAAGGUUUCCCGAUACUAGAUAUAUGCGAAGAACAUUGAUCGCUUGAUUCAUUUUUUUUUUAACAUCAAUCUAAUUUAUUUAAUUAUACUCUUAAAACAAGCUAUUGGCUUUUAUGGACACGUUCUCUCCUUCCUCUCCCUUUGUUCAUUUUAUUUUGAUUGAGGAAGCAAAUAAAUGGAUUAUUAGAAUGAAAAGAAGAAGAAGAAGAAGAAGAAGAAGAAGAAGGAGGAGUAGGGGGUUAAUUCUAUUACAUACCCAAAAGAUAAAAUUAGUCAAUAAUUUUUUAUAAUUACAAAUGUAUAUGUACAUAUAUAUUUGGUUGAAAAAUUAAAAAAUAAUGAAGUGAUUGAGAUGGAAUUUCUUUUUUAAACAUAUAUAUAUAUAUAUAUACACUUAGGGGUGAGCAGCGGUCUAGGGUCGACCUUGGACCAACCUUGGACCGGCUCAACCCUGUCGGUCCUGGUCCGGUUCCCAAGGGGACUGGGUCGGUCCUUGGUCCUGAAAUUCUAGGACCAACAUUGUGCAAGUUGGUCCUCGGUCCUAAGAGUUUUUGGUUGGUCCAACCCUGGACCAAGAUUGUAUAUUAUAUUAUAUUAUAUUAUAUUAUAUUAUAUUAUAUUAUAUUAUUUAUAAUUCUAUUAUAUAUUCAAACCUAAGUAAAAUGUUUGUUAUAUUUUAUUAUAUUGAAAUGUUCUAUCAAUAUUACUAAUAGUAAUUUCAAUUUAAAACUUUUGUUGAGUAUUAAUUAAGUGUCGUUUGUUUUGUUUUCAGGUGUUUGUAAGUUCAAGUGAAUUAACAAGAUGUGGAGUUAUAUAUUCAUGGUUUAUAUUAAGUAUUUUGAACUUUUUAUGGUUUAAUUAUAUUUUACUAAUGAAUUUCAGGUGCACUUUGCUUUUCAAUUUGUGUCAAAUGGUAGAAGUUUUUGAAGAGUAGAGUAGUACUGCAGUUGCUACGGUGAUUUGCUAGUCAAGUGGUGUGAAGCUCAUUUUUUGGUUGAGACUCUACAUGAUCAAAGGCAAGAAAACGCUUUUGCAUAUGAUGUUAUGAAUAUUAAAGAUAGAUGAUUACAAGAACUUUCCAUCUUGUCCCAUAUCUCGAUGAACGGUUAGUAGGUACGAAAUUUUUAUUAUUGUGUCAUAUUAAAUUUGCUAAAUAUGUAUUGGUAUUUAUAGUUUAGUUGCACAAUGUCGCAUUAUUGAUGGAUGUGUAAUUUGAAUUUGUAAGUUCACUUUUUUAAGGAGUAUAAAAAAUAAAACGAAAAGAAUUAUCGAUCGGUCUCGGGUUGACCCUGGAACCGGACCAGAUCAACCGAACCCAUUGGGUCAGUUCAGUCCUUGGUCCCAGGCUCAAUAGGGUUGGUCCUCGGUCCUAAAAAUUGAGGACCGGCACUAUACGAGUUGGUCCUAGGGUUAGGGGGUGGCCCGGACCAACCCGGACCAUGCUCACCCCUAUAUACACUACUCUGGUUUGGCUGGGUAAGUGGGCAAUUUCACGCCAAGAACCGGAUCGACUCCCAUGGGAGUUGUUGGUCUGGUCCUAUCCAAACUAGUUCCGGCUAGUUCAAGUAGUUCUCGAUUCUUUUACACACUCUUAGCUUUUAAAGACGUGUUUGAUAACCGGUCAAUUUUUAACUAUUUCUAAAAACAAAAUAAGAAUAUAAAUCAAUUUGGUAAAGUAAACUAAUUUUUCUAUUCCCAGGAAUAGAUCAGUGGUAAGGGAAUAAAUUUGGAACAUGAUUUGAAAGUAGAAAUUUUUUUAUUUUUUUAUUCUCGAGAAUGAUUCUAUAAUCAAUCCAUUUUCUUUUUUAUUCUUUUCUUCUUCCUCCUCCUUUAAUUGGUUGCCGGUCUCAGCAAUGGUUUGGUGACCUCAUUGAAGUCUCACUGACCCUUGGCGCCAGCCAUUGCCAAGGGGCAACCAACUAUAGGAAGAAGAAGAAAAAUAGGAAAAAAGAUAAGAAAAAAGAAAAAUCUCAAAAAAAAAAUUAAAAGAUAUUUUACUUCAUACAAAAAAUUAAGGGUAAGACUAAAUGCAUUUAUUUUUUUUUUCUAUUUCAGGAAUAAAAAUUAUGUAUCUAUCAAACAAGUUUAAAUACUCAAAAAUUUGUUCAAUAACAACAUCCGAAAAACUAUUUGUGACUAGAAAUUGUUUUAAAAAAUAGCAUGGUUAUCAGACGUAUCAUAAGACCCGUUUGGUCAAAGAAAAACUAUUUUCAAAAAAUUAUAUUUCAACUUUUCAGUAUUUGGGUUAUCGAAAAUAAAUAAAAAUGUUUUCCAUUAAUUAAAAACAACGACCUUGGAUUGGGAGAAAUUGAAGGAAAAUCACUUUUCCAAGGCUCCUAGUGUCACGAUUCAAACUCCGGGCACAUGCACAUCCCUCAAUGGUCGAUGAAAGUUUGCAACAUCCUAGGAAUUGUUGUCAACCCAUUCAUUAUUUUGCGCAUGCAGAAACGUAAAACAAUCUCCAUACAACAUAACAGUGGGAUAGAAACGUAGAAUAAUAUUUUCACAAACCACACCUACAAUACAGUAGUACUUAUAUACAGACCAGUUUAACACCCAAGGUCUAAUAUAAAAAGUGAAGCUAUUCGGCUACCUAUGCGCUAAGCUUCCAUUUACAAGUUCGCUAUUAUACUAUCAUACUUCUCGACCUCUGUAGGGUGAACUGUCACUCAUCAUCCAGCCUUGACAGAAGACCCGUCACCACAUGAGAGAAUAUUGUGAGAAACCUACACUUCCCUUCCUGUAGACCCCUGUACACGACCUAGCAUUCCUCCAUCUAGGGACCUAAAAAUUUUAACCCACUAAGGGGUGAGAUCACAUCUUAGCGAGUUAAUCCCCUAAAUCCAGAGUAGGAGAAGUGUACACUCUACAUGCAAUCUAAUCAUGUUUCUCACAACUCUUUCAUACCAGUCUUUCCCUACAUGUUAGUGCCGAUCAAAUCAUACAUACAAUAUCGAGUUUUUACAUCAUAUGAAUACCGUAACACGAGUAUGUGCAAAGACAUAAAUAUCAACAUAAGUACACAGGCCCCCAAUUACCAGACAAAACCGUUAUGGCACGUCCCAUACAUCACCACACAGUUCCGUUUUUUAAUUAGGUUCCUUGCUUUAACUCAUUCAUGUGUCAAAAAUGAUUUUAAUGUAUAGAUAACAGUCUUCUAGCAUAAUCAGGUAUCGUCUCGCACUGUCGAGCACGACAACGUCUAUAUCUAGACGGCAUUCCAUAUAGGAGCAUCGGCCCAACAUCUACUACGACCAGCAUCCAUUAACGUGGGGCAUUCUCGAAAGAGCAUCAUCUAGCCCUAAAGGCUCGUGAUGGAAUCUCAUGUCAUAUAUGCAUCCACCCAAUAUCACAAUUCAAUGAUCAAUUGCACAUUUCAUUCAUAACAUCAAUUGAGCAAUUUUUCAGCAAGAAACACUUUGAGGAUAAUUACAACCGGAAUUAGCAGAAACUAUCCACUUGUGCCCUUUCAAGUUUAACACCAUAAACCAUCUCAAAUGAGUUCGAAAAAUUCUCAAAAUUGAACAUGUGAUAAAGGGUACGUAAAAAAAUAUUUUUUUAUGAAGACACCGAGACCCAGAUUGUUCUGGAUUCGGCCUAGUAGUUCACUCAAUCCAACACUAAAAUCGGGUCCGUUUCCAGCGGUUCUGUUUUCCAAAAUCAGCUUGGUUCGAGGACUGAAAUAGGUCCAUUUGGUCUGAAAUUCGAGUAUAUUCAACUAGAAGAUGUAACAAAUAACUUUUAUGAAUAACUCAUUUUUAAAAUCGAACCCAAAGGAUUAGUAACAACCCAUAGAAUCCUUACAGGUCGCAAAUUCCAGUGCAAUUUGAGUUUCUGUUUAAAGACAACAAAGCCAAAAUAAUUUUCCUUUAAAUCCCCAAAAAUCUUGAGAAAAAUGUAUGUUAUAAUUGAAGAUGUUUAAAACAUUUCUUCAGAAGGAAAUUCUUCAAAAUCGCAACAUAUAUCAGUCUACAAAAAUAGCAAAUCACGCACAUCUAGAAAAUAGUUUCAAGAAACAACCCCUAUCUUUGGCCGAAUCAUCCUCUACAGUUCUUAUCUUGUCCUUUAAACCACAACUAAACCUUUCUAUGGCUAAUCUAACAUUUCUAACUAACACCCAACUAUAUGUAAUAUCAUCUACACCUUUCUUACUUGGAUGAAUUCCUAAAUAGAGGUAAACAAACCCUUUUCCAGAUUUAGGAAAAUAACUCACCAAUGCUAGAACCACGCACUUCCUGUGCCGGCGGCAUGACGGCGACGAAAUCACAAGGCUUGCAACUCGAACGGUGACGGUUCGUUGAAGUUGAGCUCAAAGCCAAGGGUGCUCGGCUUGAGCGGAUGGUGAGGAUGAUGGUGAGUCAAGUGGGUGAUGAAGCUAUAGAAAAUGAAAGCAAAUAAAUGGAGGUGAAAGAAGGACGGGGUGCUACAGUAGAAAUGGAGAAUGCGUGAGGGGGGAGAAAAGGAAAAGAAGAGGGGAGGUGAUGUCGUCGAGAGCAGAAAAGGGGGGAAGAGGAGAGAGAAAGAAUAAAGUAAUGGAGGGGAAGUUGCGGGGUAAUUGCAGUAGAAGGGUUGGCGUAGGUGAGGGGGUGGAAAAGUGGGAGAGAGAGAGAGGGAGAAAAAGAAGAAAGAGAGAAGAAAAGACAACAGAAGAAGUUACCGUAAGUGAGGGGGUGGAAAUUGCGUGCGAAGGAGGGGGAUGCGUGAAGGAGAAGAGAAAGAGGAGAGAGAGAGAAGAAAAAGAAUAAUAGUAAUAUCGUUAUCAUUUUUCUCUUUCUUUCAAUCACCGAUUUUUCAUGCGAUAAUUUUUUUUUCCGAAAUUUCGGGAUGUCACACCUAGGCUACCAAAUAGAUAAAAACCAAUCCAUGGAUUUUUUUUUUUCCUUUUAUGAUCAAGUUUUCAAUGAAACAAAUGCACUCUUAUCAUAUUAUUGUAACAUUUAAUGUAUUGAACUCGCAAUACCUUCUUAAUUGAUUUUUUUUGGGAAAAGUGUCAAUUUAAUCUUUAACUUUUAAUUAUAUCAAUUUAGUCAUAAAACCUUUUAAUCUGAUAUCAAUUCAAUUAUUCUAGCUAAUUUUUGCUAAAUAUUGUUAACGUGGAUAAUUUUUUAAAAUAUAUAUUUUAAUUUUUUUGAAUAUUUUUAUGAAUUUUGUCUUUUCUUUCCUUCUUUUUUCUUCCUUUCUUUUUCCUUCUUCACCUAGGUGAGAGUCAUCGUUGCCUGCUAGAGGCAAGGCUUGAUCGGGUGAGGGCCAAGUGAGGGAUCCCCUCACCCAAGCCAUGGCAACCUUAUUGGGUGUCACCUUUGCUUAGGUGACGGUUGGCCUUACCAGAUCUAGCAAAAGAAGCCCUUGGCUGGUUGAGUGUCACCUUUGGUGAGUAAUGAUAACCCUUGCCCAAGUGAGGCCAACUCACCCGGCUAUGGCCAAUGGCCAAUCAACAACAAAAGGAAGAAGAAAUGAAGAAAAAAGAAAAAAAUAUAUUAUUAAAAAUUAUUCAUGUCAACAAUAUCCCAUUAAAAUUAGUUAAAUUGGCACUAAAUAAAAAUUUUAUAAAUAAAUUGACACAAUUGAAAAGUUUAAAACUAAAUUGGCAUAUAUGUAAUAAGUUUAUGAAUUUUCUAACACUUUUCCCUUGAUUUUUUUUAUAUUAUUACUACACUUUUAUGUCUAAUGUGCAUACCAAAUCACAAUUGUUUCGGGGUGUUUUAAAUUUACAAUGUAAAUAUUUUUAUGAAAUGGUUUUUCAAACUUUCCUGCAUUUAGUUUGUUGAGAGUAUGGUAAAAAGAAAUGCUUUCAUGUUGUUGGAUUGCCAAAAAAACUCUCUAUUGGUAUUCCCUCCUGUUUGUUUAUUUGCUGUGGUAUCACUCUUCAAGUUCUUUUUUUGGAAUGGAGAACCAUUCUCAUGUGAAGUUUUAUGAGAAUUGAAAGAUUAAGUUUGCAAAUGAUUACAUUUAUCUUGUUUUGGCAUCUUUUUUAGGUUGUUUUAUUUCAAUAAAAAAAGGUAAUAUUCGUAUCCAAAAUAUUAGUAAUAUAAUCUUAGUAUCUUAUAUUAAGAACAAAAUAUAAUUAUCAUAAAAAUGAUUAUUUUUUAAAAUAAGAUCUAAACACCAAAAGUCAAUUCAAGUGAAAGUUUCUCUAGCCGGUGUUGUGGUCCAAUCAACAUCCCUCUGUUAAGAAGGCUAUUUCUAUGGUCGCUCAAUAGUACACAUCAAUUGACUUGAGAACAGUGUCAAGAAGAAACACACCCUAAUAUAUUAGCUAGUGAACAUUGAUCUAUGUUCAUCAGCUAAUAUAUAAGUGGAUCUACUCAUGUAUCAAAUCAACUAUGAGGGUAGCAACGCACUAGGUCAAGGCUCGGGUAGGAAGUGGAGGGUGCAAAGGGCUUUGUAGGCUAAGCCUAGAGUGAUUUUUCGGCACGCCCAAAUAGAUAGAGACUAAAUUUUAUGGGCUCAAUCAGUGGCCUAGACCUAAAUCACAAAUUAUUUGGGUGAAUCAGUUCGGUGGGGCUAUUUCAGGUCAAAGCCCAACUUUUCCAAGAAUGAAGUUUGUUUAUUUAUUGUCAAAUUUGAAAACUUCGAUAAGCAACGGACUAAUUAAUGUGAAGUUAUUUAUAACUAUAUAAAUGUCACCUAAAGAAAUGGAAUCUACGCACCUCAAUUUUGAUGGGACAUAAGCUUAGAUUAGGGUAGAGUUAAUUGUCCCGCAAACACAAUCAAAAUAAGACACUGUCAGAACUUGUUUAAGGUUCAAUAAUCAAAUAUAAUUCAUCUACUUAAAUGGCUUAGUGAACUAAUCUCAAAGUUUGGUUUGAUAUAAAUUCAAAGUAAAUAAAAGUAUAGGGGCAAUAUUACACAUUGAACAUACAAUUAAUAAUGAUAGUACUAAUAAAAGGCCAUUGCUUUUGGUGGGAAGAAGUAUUCAGAGUUCACGUAUAAUCACUUGAAAGUGGUGCUUAGACCAGAAAAGAUACUAAAGAUUUGGCCUUUCCUCAGCACGGCUGAGUUUACGUAUGGAACCUUCACCCGUGUUCUCUCGCCAACCCAAAUCGCACGGCCUUAAAUCAUUUGAUUGCACCACACUUGGACUUCGUUUGAUGUCUUGGAUAACACGUGAGGAAUCCGAAUUUGUGGACAGAACUGUGCAACUAUGACGCUGAGUCAAAUUUGAACAGCGGCGAGGAAUAAGCCCCCCGUGGAACAGUCAAUGAAGAUGUGGUCUUCUGAAAACCCUCGUGUUUCAGCCCCCUUUGAGGACCAAGGCCUCUUGGCUCAUCGGAAAUCUAGUUCAUCUAUCCUUACAUCUGCAGAAAGUGCAGAAUCAACCGAUCCACCAAACUCACUAGGUUCAUUCAGUCAUUCUUAUCAUGCGGCUCAUGAUUUCUUGGUGCUCUUGCUUGGUCAUCUUCUGCCUUCUGCAGGCAAGUCAUAGGACCAGCGGUGUAGCUUACAAUAUUACUCCAUCGGAGCCGCUCUUUCCGAACCAAACUCUUGUCUCCUCUGGCAAUAUAUUCGAGCUUGGGUUCUUCACGCUGAGCGGGUCAGAAAAUCAGUAUAUUGGCAUACGGUACAAGAACUUGACGCCUUCUAAGAUUGUGUGGGUGGCCAAUAGGGAACAGCCACUUCCGUACACGGAUCGGUCUGCAAAAUUAACGAUAGGCAGUGAUGGGAAUUUGAAGCUCAUGGAUGGACAAGAAAAUAUAGUUUGGUCUACCAAUGUCUCUAGUCGGUCCAAUUAUACGUUGGCGGUGCUAUUAGAUAGUGGGAAUUUUGUUCUGCAAGAUGGCAUUUAUGGCGAAAUAUGGGGAAGCUUCGAGGAUCCGACAGACACUCUUCUUCCAACAAUGAAGAUAGGAGUAAAUGUCAGGACUGGAGUGAAAAAGUUCUUAAUUUCCUGGAGAAGCGACAGUGAUCCAUUCCCUGGAAGUUUCUCGACUGGAAUGACAUCCGAGACGCCGCCUCAAGCUUUCACUUGGAAUGGUUUGACCCCUUACUGGAGAGGCGGGCAAUGGGACAAAUCGAAAUUUAUCGGCAUAGCAACCAUGGACCAAUCAUACUCGAGUGGCUUCACUGUCCAGCAGGAUACUCAAAAGGGAACCACUUACUAUUCGGUAAAUAGAUACGAUAUCUUUCUAUACAUGUUCAUUUCUCCCGGAGGAUCUCUCACGAUAAUGUACUGGGAUGAUGGAGCUAGGGCAUGGUUGAUGGAUUGGGCAGCACCGAACAAUACUUGUGAGAUUUAUGGAACUUGUGGUCCAUUUGGAGUUUGUAACUCAUUGAAUUCGCCUAUUUGCAGAUGCAUAGAUGGGUUUGUGCCAAAGUCAAAUGAAGAAUGGAACAGUUUAAACUGGACCAGAGGAUGUGAAAGAGAGAUGGAAUUGAAUUGCCAGAAAAACACAAGCACAUCGACUUAUACAAAUGUAAAGAAAGAUGCAUUUUGGCAAAUGAGCCAGAUGAAACUACCCGACUCUGGGAACUAUAUAUCAGACAUUGGAGAUGAAGAAGAAUGUGAAAGCUGGUGCCGGAGCAAUUGUUCUUGCUUGGCUUAUUCUUACGUCAGCACCAUUGGAUGCAUGGUUUGGAGUAAAGACCUCAUUGAUCUUCAGGAAUUUCCCACAGCUGGGGAAGAUCUAUUUGUUCGAGUUGCACAUGUAAAAGCAGGUUAGAAAUUUGUUUCAUUAAGAUGAGUUUGAGUCGACACCAAUCAUCUUUUACAUAACUCUCUUUCCCAUUUCAGGAGGAUCGCGACACAAAGCAGUUAUCAUCAGCCUGAGUACUAUUGCAGGGAUUAUUUUCUUUGCAGUAUUUGUUUUUGUUCUUUGCAAAUGGAGAGCUAACAAAACAGGUACUAUUGAAAAGCUAUAUCAGUGUUGUUAGAGUAAUGUGCACGCUAUGAAAAAAGUAAGCUAAUUCUUCAUCAAUGAUAAACACAGGAAACUUUCGAAGGCUCCUUGACUCAGCAGAUACACCUGAAAAAUCGACCGAGCUGACACAAGGAAAUGCAUGGCAAAAGCAGUUGAAGCAAGAUGAUUCACUGGAAUUGACCCUUUAUAGUUUUGAUAGCAUACUACUUGCUACAAACAAGUUCAGCACGACAAGUAAACUCGGGCAAGGAGGGUUUGGCUCUGUUUAUAAGGUAAGACCAUUCUGCAGGACAUUGUUAAUGAAAAUAUUUCAAGGUCUAAAAGCUAUGUGAAUUACGAAACAGGGGAAGCUGAAAGAUGGGAAAGAGGUAGCUGUGAAAAGACUUUCCAGUACCUCAGCCCAAGGCGUUGAAGAGUUCAAGAAUGAGAUCAUCCUUAUAUCGAAACUCCAGCAUCGAAAUCUUGUUAAACUCGUGGGUUACUGCAUUGAAGGAGAAGAAAAGAUUUUGGUAUAUGAGUACUUGUCGAAUAAAAGCUUGGACACCUUUCUUUUUGGUUGGUCUUUUUUAUUUAUUUAUUUAUCUCGGAUUAACUAUUUUUCUAUAAUGUAUUUUCUGCCAUAGCAUAUAAACUUGAAAACUAUUCCUGUCUGUCAUGUUUGUUAGAUUCAAGAAAGAAGGCAGAACUUGACUGGGGCAAACGAUUUCAAAUAAUUCAGGAGAUUGCAAGGGGGCUGCUCUACCUCCAUCGAGAUUCUUGCCUUAGGGUCAUACAUCGAGACUUGAAAGUAAGCAACAUUCUCUUGGAUGAAAAGAUGAACCCGAAAAUUUCAGAUUUUGGGCUAGCACGAAUGUUUGAGGGCACUCAAGUUUUGGUGAACACUCAAAAAAUU
rnacentral:lncRNA from 1 species